AUUGAACGCUAGCGGGAUGCCUUACACAUGCAAGUCGAACGGAGUGGCGAACGGGUGGAUAAUGUAUCGGAACGUGCCCAGUAGCGGGGGAUAACUGCGCGCAAGCGGAGCUCAUACCGCAUUCUAUUGGAACGGCGGAUAUCGGAUGAGGUGGUUGGUGGGGUAACGGCUCACCAAGGCGACGAUCCCUAGCUGGUUUGAGAGGACGACCAGCCACACUGGGACUGAGACACGGCCCAGACUCCUACGGGAGGCAGCAGUGGGGAAUGUUGGACAAUGGGGGAAACCCUGAUGCAGCCAUCCCGCGUGUGUGAUGAAGGCCUUCGGGUUGUAAAGCACUUUCGGCAGGGAAGCGGUACCUGCAGAAGAAGCACCGGCUAACUACGUGCCAGCAGCCGCGGUAAUUC
rnacentral:rRNA from 1 species